AAACAAACCCCAAGCCAGAGCAGAGAGAGUCCUGUCCUUCCUUCAGCUCCUGCUGCCCAGAACACACUUACUUUCUGGGUCACUGAGGCAAUGACUAAAGUACUUGGAAGGUCGGAGUUUCCCAGAACAGAGCACUCAAAAAGCCUAACAAAAUAAACUUAACCUCGCUGCCCAUUAAGCUGCAUCUAGAAGCAGCGCAACAGCGAGCUUCGGGCUCCAGGGAAGAAGAAACAGAAGCAGGACCCUCCCGACAGUUGGGGCUGAGAUCCACGGGAGCUCAGCACACUUGCAGCUGGGAGGGGACUGAGACGCACACAGCAGGAGGGAUGAUGGUAGAGACUGGGGCAUCCCCUGCGCCCACAGUGCAGGCGGCCUUUCUGCACAGAGUGCUUCACCCAGAAACAUGCUUCCAGCGGCACCAGACAUCUGUGCUCCACUUCCUUGACACCUGUUGUCUAAGUGAGCUUUAGGGCGGGCACAGUGGCUCACGCCUGUAAUCCCAGCACUUU
rnacentral:lncRNA from 10 species